GGUGCUACAGUCAGACUAGUCGAUUUAUAAGUGCUGCAUGUGUUACAAUAUGAUAUCCACAAAAAAAAUUGUGAAAUUACUUGAACCUGAUAAGGUAAAAGAAUGUACCCCUAGACAAUGGCCACAUAUUACAAAUUUGAAAAACUUGGAAAUAUUUGCAGUGUGAUAAAAUGAUCCUCAAUAUACACACUUUAUACAAAACAAUUUAUUCUAAGCUGUUAUAAACUCUAUCAGUAGAUUUCACUGAUAUUUAUUGAAACAUUCUGUAAUUUAUUAAUAAUUAUUGGAAUUUGGUUGUAGUGGUGGCCACUUUUAUAAUAUCAGUUGCAUCAUUAGAAUAUUUACCUGUUUACAAUGAUUUUUUUGUUCAAAUGUUUCUUUUUUUCUAAACUAAAACUGAUCUUAAGUCAGCACUCAACAGAUCCUUUUUUAUGUUCGGCUAAAUUACAAGACAAGUCCCAUAACCCAUUAUAAGCCAGUAUCUUUUUUACUCUUUAAAUUUUACUUGAGUUGUUGACUAAUCAUUGACAUUUAUCUUUGGUACGUGUACGUUUGAUCAACUAAGUUUCAUAUGGGGGGAGGGAAUCAUUAACAUAUGUCAGAGAAAGUUUCCUUAAUAUUUAAUAGAUAAAGUCCCAAUGCAGGGUAUUAGUGAAUUUAACUUACUACAUGUAUAUCUGUGUUGUCUCUUCUUUUAUUACAAUACAUUAAAACAAUUGUCUCCGUGUGAUCUAACGAAUUAUGAACAUUCUGGCCUCUGAUAUGAUAGAUACACAGGCAAGAAUAAAUUGAAAAUUUUCAACAAUUUCAACAAAUAUAAAUGCCUCUUAGUAGAAAUGAUACAGAAUCUUUAAAAAUACUAUACUGUAAAAUCCAAGUACAGGUAUGAUAUGCGUCGUUUUUUAUUCACGAUUGACCAGAUGAGAACUUAUCUGCUGUGAUCAUGCUAUGAUCAAUUAUCAACACCAAAUGUUGUUUUUUAUUGUCAAGAAGUGUGUUUUAAUAGUGAUAAAUACUGAGCAAAGGUGACACAGUACUUGCUCAUCUUGUGGUUAUGUAUCAUACAUAUAUAAUACUAUCAUUCGAAACAUUUGGACUGGCCAUUUUUUUUUCUGUUACAGUAUUUUAAAUAGUCCUCAGCAUGUUGAAUGCAUUGUUUUGUAUGCGGUACAAUAUAUGUACCAAUAUUUAAUUGUUUGAUGGUAACUAUUUUAUAAAAUCAUUUGAUGGUUUUCUUACUUUUACUUUCAUUUUGUUUUGAUUGAUCUUUAUGAUUUGAUUUUUAUCUUGCUUUUAACAAUCUAUAGGAUUUUUUGUGUCUCUGUAUUAGCUAUUCAUAUUAUCCCCAUUAUGUUCUGCAAGAGUUGAUCGGGAGGUGUGUCUGUGAUUUUAUUUCAUCAAAUACAAUAAAUAUAUUAUUUCAUGUGCUUG
rnacentral:misc_RNA from 1 species